rnacentral:ncRNA from 1 species
UGCAGUUGUAAUCCUUAGUACAAGAGGAACCACAGGUUUAGACAUUUAGUGCACAUGUUUGGAUGAAGAGCAAAGCUACCAUCUGUGGGAUUAUGACUGAACGCCUUUAAGUCAGAAUCCCCCUGAAAGUA